GAUGAAGAACGUAGCGAAAUGCGAUAAGUAGUGUGAAUUGCAGAAUUCAGUGAAUCAUCGAAUCUUUGAACGCACAUUGCGCCCCUUGGUAUUCCAUGGGGCAUGCCUGUUCGAGCGUCAUUUGUACCUUCAAGCUUUGCUUGGUGUUGGGUGUUUGUCCUGAGGGACUCGCCUUAAAGUAAUUGGCAGCCAGUGUUUUGGUUUUGAAGCGCAGCACAAGUCGCGAUUCAAAGCUAUACGCCAGCUUCCACAAGCCUUUUUCACUUUUGACCUCGGAUCAGGUAGGGAUACCCGCUGAACUUAAGCAUAUCAAUAAGCGGAAGGA
rnacentral:misc_RNA from 1 species